UACGAAGGGGGCUAGCGUUGUUCGGAAUUACUGGGCGUAAAGCGCACGUAGGCGGAUUUGUAAGUAGGGGGUGAAAUCCCCGGGCUCAACCCGGGAACUGCCUUCUAGACUGCAAGUCUGGAGAUCAGGAGAGGCGAGUGGAAUACCGAGUGUAGAGGUGAAAUUCGUAGAUAUUCGGUGGAACACCAGUGGCGAAGGCGACUCGCUGGACUGAUACUGACGCUGAGGUGCGAAAGCGUGGGGAGCAAACAGG
rnacentral:rRNA from 1 species